rnacentral:rRNA from 1 species
GAUGAACGCUGACAGAAUGCUUAACACAUGCAAGUCAACUGUGGCGGACGGGUGAGUAACGCGUAAAGAACUUGCCUCACAGAUAGGGACAACAUUUGGAAACGAAUGCUAAUACCUGAUACUGUGAGAGAGCUUUGCGUCCCAUGAGCCAGUUGGAGAGGUAACGGCUCACCAAGGCGAUGAUGGGUAGCCGGCCUGGGAGGGUGAUCGGCCACAAGGGGACUGAGGGACGACCCUUACUGCUACGUGAGGCAGCAGUGGGGAAUAGUGGACGAUGGACCAAAGUCUGAUCCAGGAAUUCUGUGUGCACGAUGAAGUUUUCGGAAUGUAAAGUGCUUUCAGUUGGGAAGCGGUACCAACAGAAGAAGUGACGGCUAAAUACGUGCCAGCAGCCGCGGUAAUUC